rnacentral:rRNA from 1 species
UACGUAGGGCGCAAGCGUUGUCCGGAAUUAUUGGGCGUAAAGAGCUCGUAGGCGGUUUGUCGCGUCUGCUGUGAAAACCUAAGGCUCAACCUUGGGCUUGCAGUGGGGUACGGGCAGACUAGAGUGCGGUAGGGGGUGACUGGGAAUUCCGUGGUGUAGCGGUGGAAUGCGCAGAUAUCAGGAGGAACACCGAGUGGCGAAGGCAGGUCACUGGGCCGCAACUGA